GGGCCAAUUUAUAUGCACAUAAAAGAAUUUUUAAUCGGCAGCCAUUUAUGAAAAGGGUGUAUGGCUUGGCAGGGAAGUAAAAUGGAAUUUUGUUCCGUGUAGCACAAACUGGAGACAAAAAUUUCCUGCAGCAAACGGAGAAUGGUUGUGCUAAAUCCGCAAGUUCAUAUACAUAUAGUGUUCUAGUUGACCAUGGUUUUAAAUUCAAGGAAUAAUGUAUGUCAACCAUAUGUUGUUGUGGCCAUAGCGGGAAAGUUUUCUUCGUAUUUCAAUUAGAAAAUCUUUAUUCAAACGAAUUCCUGCAACUGUUUAACUUUUCCUGCGAGCAAUGCUCACAUACUCGCCUAUUUUCCCACCACUGUGGCUUGGAACGCAAUUUAUCGAUCAUUGUUCAACAUAACUAAUUUUAAGAAUUUUUUAUCACUGCACAUUUUUGUGCAAAUUUUAGCCGAGCAGAAGCACUCCCUGAAAAUUUCUGAACACACUCUUAUAAUAACGUGUAACAACAAAGCAGGCUCCAAUUGAUAUUCAAAAAUGCCCAAACGAACAUUAAUUCACUGCACAGCACACAAGGAAAUUUGGGGGCCCAGGAAAACUUUGACUUGUUGGCUCUCGUGAUUCCAUGUUCUCUGAUUAGGGGGUCCGGGGCACUGAGCUAUAAUAUUACUGGAAGAGCUGCUCCUAUCUUUCCGCCAGUCAUUCAAGUGAAGCCAAAAACAUGGAGGAUCUUACGCCAUGACCAUGACUGCUGGUUCUUAUUUCUCAUGGUAAUUACCACUGACCAACCGCGAUCCUACGCUUUACACAAUAUCUUUCACCCCUGGGAUUUUUUCACAAAUUAUAUAAAAUAUUUUGGAUUAGUUUGUGAACUGAAAAUCUUGAUAUUUUUCAUCAAUUUUGCCUGUUUUACAAAGUCGAGGAAGACGGUGCAUUUUUGCAGUACCUGUUGUAGACUUGCUCCAAUUCUCUCUUUCUUUGACAUAUCGAUCCACUAUAGUGUACAUUACAUGACGUAGUACGGAGGGGCGGAGCGAGAAGAGAGACUUAAUUGUCAAUUUCGGAAAAUCUCGGUUAAAAACUGAACCGAAAAUGCAAGACUUGCUUUAAUUCUUUUCUGUCAGUGUUUAUAAGUAUUGAUCUAGCACAUGUAAAUAACAUGCGUUCCAUUAUAGUAAAUGAUAAAGAAAGAAAUUGAAGGAAAAGAAUUAAAGCAAGUCUUGCAUUUUCUGUUCAGUUUUGAGCCGAGAUUUUCCGAAGUUGACAAGUCUCUUUUUCUCGCUCCGCCCUUCCGUACUACGUCAUGUAAUGUACACUAUAUUGGACCGAUACUAUAUGACAAUGAAACUCAAAGAGAGACUUGGGGCUAGUCUAUGCCUGUUGUGGCUCUAAAGGGAGAAUAUUACCGGUACGAUUUCAUCAUUUCUACAUUGACAUUGUUUUUUUUUUUGUUUUUUUUUUUGUGUUUUUUUUUUAUUAGUUUUACAAUAAGAAAUUGAAGGCACAGACAACAGGACUAAUAAAGUCCCAAAUUAAGUCCUGCCAUACAUGAAAAUACUACGCUAUACUAUGCUAUACUAUACUAUAAACGGUUAUAAAAUUAACAAAAUACAUAGCUAGGUACAUAUUUACGGCAUUACAUAAUUACAUUCGUACAAGAGCUCAGAACAUGCACUUCUACGAACAACAGGACGUAAAACAAGAACGACAUUUAGAGCAAAACGUUUUCCAAGUCCUAGGCCUAUUAACGUCAAAACAUGCAUUAACUUUUUGAGUGUAGUGAUUAUAGAGUUUAAGUUUCAGUGACUGAAUAGAGAGAGAGGAUUUUAUUUCUCCUGGCAGGCUGUUCCAAAGUGGCACUAUCCUAUUGAAAAAUAGGUUUCGGAAAGAAGAUGUUCUGCAACGGUUUGGUCGGUAUGAAUCAGUAGAGCUAAAGCGAGUGUGAUGAUUAGUAGAAUUGACCAGAAUAUAGUCUUCAAGUGUUAAGUCAUAAUAACCAGCUUUGCAUUUAUAAAAAAACGUAAUAUCUUUGAUUUCGAACCAGUAUGAAAUAGGCAGUAGGUUAAGUUUCUUUAAACGGUUGGUGUAAGAUGAGUUGAAGUCUUGAAGGAUAUACUUGGUUGCUCGUCUUUGGACACUUUCAGGACAAAGAAGGUCCCUAGAUGUUGUUUGGGGUGCCCAAAUUUCACUGCCAUAGCACAGGUGUGUACGAACAAGUGUCAAAUAGAGAGAGCGUCGACAGUUUGUAUCAGUUAAAUAUGUGCAGUUACGUCGUAGAAAUCCAAGCAUGCGGUUUGCUUUGGAAACAAUGUUAGAAAUAUGAGGAGACCAUUUUAGGUUAUUCGUAAUAAGUAUACCAAGAUCCUUUUGAGUUGAUUGAAAAGGGAUCUGACUGGAGCAUAAAAAGUAAUCGGGAGACUCAAUACAACGUUUCCGUGAAAAUCUUAUUCCAGAACAUUUCUUCAAGUUGAACUUUAACUUCGACGUAGAAGACCAAAGACACAGGGCUUGAAGAUCUGAUUGGAGGAGAUUAGAGUCGUGUGGAUUGUUUAUGAUUUUAUAGCAUUUACUGUCGUCAGCAAACAUUGGUAUUCUUCGGUGUUUUGCUGCGUCAGGAAGGUCAUUAACGUAGAUCAAGAAAAGCAAUCGGCCAACAAUAC